rnacentral:rRNA from 1 species
UAACACGUAGGGAGCAAGCGUUGUCCGGAUUUAUUGGGCGUAAAGAGCUCGUAGGUGGUUCGAUAAGUCGGGUGUGAAAACUCUGGGCUCAACUCAGAGACGCCACUCGAUACUGUCGUGACUGGAGUCUGGUAGGGGAGUGUGGAAUUCCCAGUGUAGCGGUGAAAUGCGCAGAUAUUGGGAGGAACACCAGUGGCGAAGGCGGCACUCUGGGCCAGUACUGACACUGAGGAGCGAAAGCGUGGGGAGCGAACAGGAUUAGAUACCCUGGUAGUCCACGCCGUAAACGUUGGGCACUAGGUGUGGGUCUCAACCAACGGGAUCCGUGCCGCAGCUAACGCAUUAAGUGCCCCGCCUGGGGAGUACGGCCGCAAGGCUA